rnacentral:rRNA from 1 species
AGGUGAAAGCUUACAUCUCUUCGGAGCAUUUUACGAGGUGCUGCAUGGUUGUCGUCAGCUCGUGCCGUGAGGUGUCGGGUUAAGUCCCAUAACGAGCGCUAACCCCUACCUUUAGUUGCCAUCAGGUUAAGCUGGGGACUCUAAAGGAACUGCCUACGCAAGUAGUGAGGAAGGCGGGGAUGACGUCAAAUCAGCACGGCCCUUACGUCCAGGGCUACACACGUGCUACAAUGGCCGAUACAGAGGGCAGCUACCUGGUGACAGGAUGCAAAAUCUACCCAAAGUCGGUCUCAGUUCGGAUCGGAGUCUGCAACCCGACUCCGUGAAGUUGGAUUCGCUAGUAAUCGCGCAUCAGCCAUGGCGCGGUGAAUACGUUCCCGGGCCUU